GGCGAGAGCAAGUAGGUUAGACAGAUAAGGGGUUUUCGACUAGUUUUUUAGGCUUUGAACUAUUUAGGAGGAGUGGAGGAAAACGGUACUAUCCAUCCGCUCCUGGGCUGGGCACCCCUUUCUCCUCCCCUUUUGAACGUCGCAAGCACCCGGCACAGCGAGAUUACAAGAACAGAGAGAGAAGUUGUAGAAAACUUAAGCAAUUGCUUGCAUCAACCGGAUCAAUUAUUAUUUAUUUUAUGGGUGAGGGAAAACAGGGUGUGAUUGUGGUUGAAAUGUCUAAUAUGACAGCAAAGGGGUUAGUAGGGGGUAACCCCAUAGAACAAUUGCAGGCCAAGUUUAAGGAUCUGGAAGCUCGCUUCAAAACUUGGCUCUCCAAGCAGACUUUGCCUGUGGAAGCUGCCGUCGUCACCGCCACAGGCGCCACCCAGGGCGCUGCUCUCGGAGCAUUAAUGGGUACCCUCACCAAUGACAUCUCUUCCUCAAUUCCAAACCCUCCACCGGGGGCCCCCAAUCUCAAUCCUCAGGCCAUGGCCUCCUUCAAGCAAGCCCAGGCUCUUUCAGGUGGUCCAUUGAUACAAGCCCGCAACUUUGCUGUAAUGACAGGGGUUAAUGCUGGCAUUUCCUGUGUCAUGAAAAGAUUGAGAGGGAAGGAAGAUGUUGAGUCCAGUAUGGUGGCUGCUUUCGGAUCUGGUGCCAUGUUCUCGUUAGUAAGUGGAAUGGGUGGGACGAAUCAAGCAGCCAAUGCCGUUACAUCAGGUCUCUUUUUUGCGCUUAUCCAAGGUGGACUCUUCAAGCUAGGACAAAAGUUUUCAGCUCCACCAGCUGAAGAUGUGUGCUAUGUCAAGACGAGGUCCAUGUUGUCAAACCUUGGUUUGCAAAACUAUGAGAAGAAUUUCAAGAAAGGGUUGUUAAAUGACAGCACUUUGCCAUUGCUCACUGAUAGUGCUCUUAGGGAUGUUCGAAUUCCCCCUGGACCAAGGCUUCUGAUUCUCGAUCACAUACACAGGGAUCCAGAGAUAAGAGAGAAGCGAGCGAGCUGGAAAUGAAGCUGGUCUGGUGAGAUAAAUGCUCAGCGAAACAUGCAUCCUUUGAUUCACUAUCUAAUGUUGGACGUAACAGAAAAUGUCGGGCAGACCAUCUUUCAGUAAAAUAGGUGGGAUGCGUUCGGCCGGUCCAGAACGGUUAGCUCGAUUUGGUUGGCAUCUAGAUGAUUUUUUUGACUCUCUGUCUCUCUCCCUCUCCAUGUGCGGACGCUCUAUUUUUGUUUCUUUUUUUUGUUCCCUUGCGAAUUAGGAUCAUAUAUAGGUUUUUUUUGUUCCCCUUCGAAUAUUGCUGAACGGAGGAGUUGUUUCGAGCCUUUUGACAUUUGAUUUUUUUUUUUUCGAUCAUAACGAUAACAUUUGUAUAAUUUACUCUACUUUAAUUUAAUGCAUUUAAUG